CUCCUUCAUUGUUAGAUUAAAAGUGGAGUGACAGCAAGGAAAUGAGGGGAAAAGAGAAAAUGAGAUGUACUGGUUAGAAAAUACCACCUAGAAGUGAGAGAUUUGAUAUUUGAAAUGAAAACAUUAGUGAAUGACUUUGGGGAUGUUUUACUUUAUGCCUAAAUUGGAUCGUUGGCUGAAAAAUAAUAACUCGGUCCUACAAAGGUAUAACCUGGAAAUGGGAUGAAGACAAGAGUUAAAAGACAGGUCCACCAUCUCAGAACGCCACUGGUCUCCUGGGAGUCAUUCAUUGACGGGCAGCAGGACGGGGAGGCGCUGGGUUUCCUUCUGCUCAGGAGGACCUUUCUUUUUUUAAGGCUGCACAUCAUUCCUGGGCUGCUGACUGAAUAUAGAUGUGGUUUAAUUUUAUAGUAGGCUAUUGGUAAUAUAUAUUUCUUUAUAACGUGGGAAUUGAUUUAAAACAUGUAACGCUUUCUGAAUGACUUCCAGACAUAAAGUUUUAGCUUUCCGGUCUGAAAAUAUUGACUGUAAUUAUUAAAUGUUUAAGGUGCUCCACUGGUAGUAGAAAUGUAUUUUGAGUGCUAUUUACCAUUUCCUUUGCUGAGCUGAAUUUUGUUAUAGUUUCUCUUUUUUUUUUUUUUCUAAUUAAAAAAAUCAAAUCUUUCCUACAUGAUUAAAAUACCUUAGAGGUAAUUAUUAGAAUUAAGCACCUGGCUAUAUGAAGUAUGUCAUCUGAAUUCGCAGUCAAGUAGCCAUAGUUGCAACAAAUUUCUUUUUUUUUCUAGAAUCCUAUUUAAACAGCAUUUUUUGUAUAUUUCUAUUAUUAUUCUCAUUUUGUUCUGGUUUGUAAAGACUGAUUUUAAAUUAGUAAACAGGCUUUCAGUGCUCAUGGUAGGUCCUAGAUAAGGUGCAAAAACAAUGCUAAAAUAUGCAGUGAUAAUUGAGUGUCAAUUUAAGAACAUGUUCCCCGUUGAACAGGUGCCUGUAGUUUGCUGUGAACUUGAGGUUAUUGUUAAUACACCGUUAACAGGAUCCCAGGAGUUUCCAUGCAGUUAAUUUCACACUUGGACAUUGCAGUAUUUGCAACAAUUCACAAAGUUCAGAAACGUCCAGGAGACUUUGGCAGGGACAGCCAAGCAAAAUGCUAAUAAGGAAAACAGAAGAGAAGUCGGAGCCAGCUCUCGGCUGUUGCCAGACUCCAUCAGCACUACACAAUGUUGACACGAAAAAAAAGAGCUCUUUCAUCUCCUGCAGCCAUAAACCAAUGGGGAUUUUAUUUAUUUAUUAACAGAGAAAUAACAGAAUGAAAUAGAAGGAAGGGCCUGAAAGGAGCCCAUUGUGUUAGGCCAGUGACAUCUCUCUCAAAUGAAUGAGGAUCCAUGAACGAACCUUGUUUCUUAACACAGCUCUGCAACGCAGUGAUCCGGCAGUCAGAGCUGUGUAAUUUACAGGGUAAUUUACAGUUCUGCAGACUGGGAGGAAAAUACGAGCAAAUUAAAACUGAUCUGAUUAAUAGUCUUAUGCUGUGGUGUAAAUACAAGAGUUGUAUCAGUGACGUAUAAUGUGUAAAGCAGUAGUCAGCCAAUUGGGCUACCAAGGUCUUAGGUCAGUCAAAUAACAAGAAAGCAUUAGAUAUAUGUUUUACUUCAGCUGGGAGCAGUGAAGCAGUGUUAUGUAAUGAAAGACUGACCUCCAAAGGGCAGAAAUCAGAGUAGGCUGGCUUAUAAAGUUCCCACUGACAGGACCCAGGACUCUGGGCAUGUGGGUCAUGGUUAACAAACAGCAUCAUCAAGCUUUAUUUUGCCUUUCAAUCCAAAGAUCAUCCUCGAUUUUUGGAUGAAUAAGCAUUUUUAGUGCAUCUCUUGAACAGGACCCUCUGCUACUUUAUCUCUUGUGAUGCUCUUGUAUCAAAAGUGAGUGUCAGGUUUUGACUCAGUAACUUCCUUCUUCUAAAAAGGGUAACUUCUGAGUUAAAAAGAAGUAGAAUUUAAAAACAGAAGUAUUGUCAUGCUUCUUGAACGGUGUUUCCUUAGAGAUUUGGCAUCCCUUCAUCCCUGUUAUGAGAAGGGUAACAAGAUACAUUUCAUGAAAGUCUGGAGUAUAACUGCUAAAUGUCUUCUGACAUGGAAGAAAUUGGACAGCUCGUACAAACAGUUCUUGAAUCAACAGCCUUGGGCAAAGACAGUGAGGAGAUGCAGCAGCAAGAGGGCUUCUUUUUAAAUCUGUUGCAUGAAGAAGGGGCAGUGAAGGUCACCGUGCACUGGGAGGUGGAUGAGUGGAGUCCGGCCGGAGGCGUGGCAGCAGAGGACGAGCAUCCCGGUAGUUUUACAGCAGGAGCAAUGACCCUUGCUUUGUUUUCUGCAGGAAAUGAAAAUCAUCUUUUAAGCCUGAAUCAACGAUCUUUUUCAGGCUUUUUCUGUUUCUCAGGCUGCCCUGCCAGCGAGUGGUCUGCAGACACAAGGUGCUGGGAGGAGUACAGCCCGGGCAGCUGACCCCAGGGUAUCCCUGACCCUCUGACAUCAUGUUCCUCAGUAAGAGCUGGGGGAAGGACAUACAGAGAUUCUGCCCAUCUUGCCGGGAUGGCUAACUCCCAGCAGCACGGCUCAGGACUCAUACAGGUACGUGGCUCUGUGCCCUGGGAGGAGGUAACUGUGGUACCAAAACACAAAGGCACAAGUCAGGUAUGCACAUCAAAACUGACACACGCUCAGGAAAUGUGAAAUGUUUGUCUAGCAUGCGUUGCAUUUUACUCUUAACUGAAGAAGUACCUAUAAUUCUGUCUCAGAUGCAGAAAAAGUAGUACCACAGUGGUCAUUAUGAGAUGUUGGCUUGUAAUCUUCACUCAUUUGCUUCUCCUUUUGGGGUGAAUAAUGCUUAAUAUAAUUAUUGAUAAGGCUGUUGUACUUUUUGUUUCUUCUUAUUGUUUUGGCGUUAUUUGAAUUGACUUAAACAUUAAAUUCUUCCACUUGGGGAGGAGAUGGUCUGUGCAGCAAGACAAACACCUGGAGAGCACACAGCAGCCCGCCCUUCCAUGACCUCAGUUCUCUCAAACAAAGGUCAGUAAAGCAAAUUAAGCAAACAUAAUAAUCCAGAGAGGGACUGAUGGGUGAGAAUCGCUGAAGUGAGAAGUGCCACUGAGAUUUCCAAAUAAGAUAAAAUCUGGAAUUGCUUGACGUGGGGAUUUGUAGCAUGCAGAAAAUGUCUGGCCCCAAAAUUAGAACCCGGACUUCUAUAUUGGAACUUUUAUAAGUAAGAGUGCCAAAGUUUGAAUGUGUUUGGAUUAGGGAUUGGCUGCUGCUAAAUCCUCAUAAACAGCUUUUUCUCCUGGGAUAGUGGAAAGCCCAAGUUCAGGACUCUGAUCUCUGAAAAGUAGUAUUUCUAUGUUGCAGUGAAGUUUAUCAUCAUUAAAGGGCUUUUGUUCAAGCCUGGCUCAAAGGAAAUAACACUAACUUUUGAAUCAGCAAAGCUUCUCUGAAUCCCUGGAGGUCUCUCUGCUAAGGACAGGCACUUGUAUGUGAUGAAUGAACAGCAGCUGUAGCACUGAAUUUCUGUAUAGUCCAUAGGCUGAAACUUCAGAGAAAUUUGUCAGCAAAGAAUUUGUGAGUAUCACACACACUUAAGCAGCCAGUGACUGCUUCACCAACAGCUUGUAAAUAAAGGGCAGUAUAUGUUGACUAAUGAGCAGACCCCAAGAAAAGCAUGUAUAUUUUACAUCAUGUUGAUAGACAUAAUGAAUGUUGGUACCUUGUCUCACACCUUGUCUUUCCUGAGUAAACUACAUACUAAAACUAGUUCAUUCAGCUUUAGCUAUAUGGUUUUCUUUUCCUGUACUAGUUGAAGGCUACCUUCUCUCUCUCUCUCUCUGUCUCACACACAUACAGACAAUAUAAGCAUACUUUUGGUUCUCUCUGCUUGCUUCUCCAAACACCAUCCUGGCUCUUUCCUGCCUUACAUCUUGAGGCAGUCCUCAAGAUGUCCUAGUCCCUGCCUCAACUCUCCUUGUCCUUUUUGACCUGCCAGCUGUCUUGAUACAUUCAGUUACAUGCCUGGAAAUCUGAUGCUUUCUUUGGUUCCUGUGACGACACCUUUUUCUCAUCUUCCUAUGACAUCUCUUAUCACUUUUUCUGCAUGUCCUUCUGUCUUCAUCCAUCCAUCCCUGGUUUCUGGGGAAACCUUUCUUCCCCCCACUUCAGUGUCUUCACCUUUUCCGUGACACCAUCCGUAUGUGUUCAGUGAUUACUUCAGUGCUGACAGUUCAGAGAUCUUGCAUUCUCUCUUUUUUCUUUGUUUAGACUAAAAUGUUGACCUCUGGCUCCGAAUACCCCUUCCAAUGUUUAGCUGACAGCUCUGCACAGCUAAAACUGAGCUCUUAAAUCUUUCCCCUAAAGCACUCCCCUUCUUGUUCUUCAUUUGAUUGCUGUGGACAACACCAUCAUCCUGCCUCCUAUUCAAGCUUAAAAACUGAGACAAACUAGAGAGCAUUUUUGUCACAGAAUCUCCUUCUUAGGUCUGUGUAUUUAGGUUAUGUCUUAAUUUAGAGGUUUCUUUCUCACACAUCAUCCCAGAGGGCUGUCUCUAGCCAUCCAGACAGCUAAAAUCUCCUACCUAGGCUCUGCUUGGUUAGCAGGUUUGCAACGUCUUUUCACAGCCAUUGACAAAUUCAAGCUUCUGUGCUUCAUAUCCUGCCAGUCUUUUGCUGUACAGAGCAUUUUCCUACUCUGUCACUGGCGCCUUUGUUACUCUAACUCCUUCAUGGCUUCUUCCUGUUGGCAUGCAUGUUCAUUGCUCAUCCCUGUGUGAAUGGUUUUUCUUGUUCAUAGCCAGUGAUGCCAACUUUCAUUGACAUGUUUUCAAAGAAAAUAUCUUCAGGCUUUUGUUCCCAGGCUUUCCUAUGUAGUAGGAGGAGCUCCCUGCAAGCAUCAGUGCUUUCUCCUUAACAUCUCCUUUUGCUGAUACAUCAACAAAAACAGUGAUGUUGGCAAAGGGUGCCAAGCCUGCUAUGAACUCAGUUCAGCACUUUCACCAGCCUUAACAGAAGCUGUAUUGAAACAAUUUACUCUAAACGUGGUUUGGAAGGUCUCUGCUCUACCUAUUCUACACCUGAAACAUUCAGCUAUGUUCCUUUUAAGAUAACAGCCAAAUAGUGAGGAAAUGAUGAAAUCUUCAGUUUUGUGCAUGCUGUCUGAAUUAUUACCGUUAUAGUUAACAUGUCUCAGAUACUGAAUUGCUUUGAAAAUUGAAAGAGGAACAAGUCAACUAAUACAAGCUGGAUGCUUUGUCUGAACAAUGUCACCUUUGCUUGACCAAUAGCAAAGAAACUUCCUUUCUUUGCCAGUUCCUUGAAAACAAAGGAAGUAGAGAGGUGAUUACCUGCAGUCUGGAAAUACAUUUUCUGAUGCUCCAAUCUGAUAAAUUUAGCUGAACAGUUGAAAAUAUGCAGCAAGUGAAAUGAAAUGACCAUCAGGAUCAACAUUACAGCUUUUAGUGAAGUAGCUGUAUUUGCUGGUAAUAUUUUCCUGUUCUACAUUCCAAACACACAGCUUCUAAAGUGUAGUGUUUUUUUUCCAAAGCUAUACUUCUAGAACAUGAUUGAAUGGUUUGAAAUAUGCAUAAAACACCAUUUCCCACCUAAUUGACUCAGUAGAAUUUAAUCUCAUUAAGUACAUUUUAAAUAUGUUUAUGUAUAAUUUGAAGGUAUUUCUAUUUGUCAUAUCUACAUGAGUAGGUAUAUAAACAUCCUCUCUCCAAUUAUAUAUGUACAUAUGGACUUCUGUGCCAUUUCAAGCCCCAUUAACUUCAGGUGGGCUCCCAAAGCCCAGUACACCUGCAGAGAAAUUAGAAGACUGGGCACAGAUGUCUGUGUUACAAGUGAGACUCCUAUCAAGACAGACUAUGCUCCCUUAACCCUCAAACCAUCCUUCCCCUGCUCCAUAACCCUGGAACUCACUGUCAGCAUUAAUUAGCUACUACUUUAUGUACCCAUGUGAUAUAUGCAGUAUGUGCAAUGGAAAUUAUUUUCUUUUAUUUUUUGGGAGAGAGGUGGAGGUCCUGCUCUGAAAGAAUUAGUUGCGUUACAUGAUUGUUUAGAACUCGCCAAGUAACACAUGGUAUAGGCUGAAAAGUGAAUCUGCAGGUAACCAAACUAGACUGAUAAUCAAAAGAUCUGUGAUCUUAGAAGUCUUUUCCAUUUGAAACUUUGCUUUGUCUUAGUCUCAUGCCAUUCAAGAAUGCAUUGCUUCAGUCUUGAAACACUUGAUGUUCCUGCAUAAAAUAACAAAGGAUGUACAAGAGGUACCGAUGGUGCUUCUAUUACUUUGAAAAAUGAACUAACUGAAAGAGAACACUGCAGUUCUAGCUGUACAUUCAGAAAAAUUCAACUCUGCUAAAAUACCAUUUAAAUGUUUGUAAUGACUGACUUAAUACCACACCUGACUUUCAAGGAAGAAAAACCAAACAUUUUGUCUGUAGACACUUCCGCUGUAUUCUUCAAAUCAGAAAAAUACUAUGGUAAGGAAGGACAAGCAUUAAAAGAGGAAAAGUUAGGGCAAUUAAUAGUAAGUUAGUUAAAUUCAGGAGUGUCUUUAAGGCAUCUCUGCAAUCACAGCACUGACAUCUGUGCAAGUCUCCUGUUUUUCAGCACACCUGAGGCCUUUCACCCUCAAUUUAGCAAAUUAAUUCCAAUGCAGACUUGCAGCUCAUCUAAUUUCUUCAUAGCAGUACUUCCCCCCCAGCCUCUCACCUUAUUAUGUUCAAGCUAACUUAUACCUUUGUAGUCCAUCGGUCUGAUUACAAAAACCGAACAAAAACACUGCACAUUAAAAACAACCAACCAACCAAACCAACAACUGAGACAGUACAGCAGCAGUAAGGAACAACAUGGACAGUCUCAGACCCAGCACCAGACCUGCUCAAAAACAUACCUUCUUUUUCUCCAACUCAUCCUCCUCAACUAACUGAUUUAUGUAGUCCUUCUCUUUCACUAGGAAGAACAGAUAGGGCUCACUGUGCUUUUUCCUCACUCUGAAUUACUAAAAUUCUAAAUUGUAUCAUCUGCAACAAAUUGGUGCCAUCUUAUCUGCAGCUGCAGCUAGGAAAAGCUGACAGAGGACAAGAUGCUGUUACGCUAAGUCAUGUUUGAAACACAGCGCCUGCAGUAAUGACAUGAGAUUUAAUAUUCUUUCCAAUAUUUAUUAGCAUUAACUGUUAUAACUUUGGACAGCCCUGUAUCUGCCAGUAAGAUGCCUUGCCAGCUUCAGUUCAGCAACUCCCAGAAAUACUAAGUUAGUGUAAGUACACAAUUUCAAAAGAUGCUCCCCCCCCCCCCCCCCCAAUCAACUCUGUAGCUGCCAUCUUCUAAUACUGCCAAACAUCUUGUUAUUCCAGAACAAAGCAAUAACAUACAUUGCCCAUAUACUUCAGUAUCCUGCAUUUCUGAUCUGGACUGAGAAGAGCUCCUAAGCUUUUCUUGUUUGAAGUAUAUCUACCUUUCCAAGGGCUUCUGGGCAACUCUGUAGUCUGUAUCUCAUUAUCCUUCGGUAUACUGAACACUGUAGGCGGCUACAGAAUAGGUGGUACUUUUUGCAUGCAUUACAGUUUUAAUCAGGCUCUUCAGUUCUGUGCUCAGUUACUUCAGAAAUCUGCCACAUAUGUCUUCUUCUGUGACUUACAAAAAGAAGCACAUAUUCCAAGUGUAGAUAAUAACUGUACCAUUUAAAUGAUAAUACCAAUAUGUUUUGUAUAGGGAGGAGAUUUGUGCAGGGCACUUCCACCAUGAACAGCUCUUUCAUAGGGCUAUCUAUCCUCACGCCAGAUGUCAAAUACAAAAAGACAUACUUUGGCAUGAAUAACAAAGUUCGUUUGACUGAAGGAUUUACCUCCUAGGAACAAGAGCCUCAUAAAAGAUAAACACUGGGAGCAAACUGAGCCUCGUAAGGGCUUUUGCAAAAAUUAAACCCAUAACUUACCACUAGAAAUAGGAUAUUUCAUCUGUUCAAUAAGCACUAGAGUUCUUUUUGUUUUUAUGGCAUCGUAAUCUUUGAUUACUCUGAUAAAUAUUUGGACUAGACAAAACAUUGUGAUGGAACUAAUCACAGCUAUAAAAGAACUGUGUCUGAAAAUGAAUUUGAAAUGCAGUGAUAUCAGCACAUUUUAUAGAAGUUCAAAUACAGACCCACAUUAUUUAAACUGGCUCCUGACACCAUUCUUUCGUGUCUCCAUGUAGUCGUCUAUACCUGAGAAAAAUAAUUACUAUUGCUUGCUGUCUUUGCACAAGCAUGAAAAGAUGACUGUACCAGACAUGGAGUACCAGCCUCUCUGUAUAACUGGAUGAACCCAGAACACACAACUAUAUAGUGCAAAAAUUACAACUUUAAGGUUGUGAAAAGGCUCAGUGCACUAGGAAACAGUGCACACAUGUCAAGACAAUUAAGUGCUACUUAUUCUUUUACAGUAGGAGGGGGAGUCCCUCCAUCAGUCUGAGCACCGUGCACCAUUCAGAUUGUAGGGGCCAACAUUCUGCCCACAGUUCAGCUGGAGAAGAUCUGUAGUCAAAAAGAGCAGCUCAAGAAGCAUUAUACAAAACCUGGAACUGCUUUUUAAUUGCUCAGUAUAACUGAGGGCUAAAAAACAGCAACAUGAAUACUUCCAAAAGCAAAAUGCUUUUCUCUACCUUAUAGUUUGAGCAGAUGCAAUAAUGUAACUAAAGUUCAAGUACAAAUCACAGCCAGGAAUGUUAGCCCAGUGAUGUAAGUCAUGUUUAGUACUGCAACAGCAACAUUUAUGAAGAGGUAAUGAGAAUGUAUUUGAAGCAGUGGGCUGCAUCUUUAUAUCACUGAUGCAAUGCUGUCAUGUACUGUCACAUAUUUCUAACAUAUUACUUCUAACAGCUGAAGUCUGCAUUUGUUUCUAGUUGACUAAACCCAGAAUAACUGAACCAAAGCCAGAUGUUGCUGAUUAGAACAAAGAAUGGGAAUUUUCACUUAGCAUUUAUAUAGUCCUUUUCAUCUUCAGAGAGCAUCAUGAACAUGAGCUAGUUCUCUCACAAUAACCUUCAUGCUAACCUUCUGGGAUAAAAGUAAUAUACUAUAGGUUAAAAGAACACCUGAGAAGAUAUGUAAUCAAGCACGUACAAAGCCUCAGAUGUCUAAACUGUCUUGGCCUCUGUCUAACGGUAGACUGUACUUCAUCAAGAAUAUAAGGGCUUUCACCAUGGCUUGGGAGUUAAUUCACCAUACAAUGCAUUUUACUAACAUGAUGUGAUGGUAAUAGUCCUUGAAUAAUACAUCUUCUACCAUAGCUAUAGGAUACAGCAAUUCUUUUUCAGCAGUUAAGGAACUCAAAAUAAAAGUGCAUUAAAAACUUGCUGGAAACUGUUACAAAGCAACGCAGGGAUACAUCUAGGUUGGAUGUUACAAGUCUGUAGUUUCAAUUCCUACUCUUCAGUCAUUUGGGGCUUUUUUUUUUUUUUAAACUCCUAAUUCAGAUUAGGAAUUUCAUAAGACUUUUAGAAAGCUUUCUCUAAAGCAGCAGAAGCUUCCUUUAUGCAUCAGUUCUCUCUCCCUCAACACAGACCUGCUAUUCUGGUUAUCAGUUUGAGUGUCUCUAAACCCAGAAUCUUCAGUAAGUUCCUUAUGUUCCAAUUGCUCGCGCACUUUACGGACAAAUAGAUUGAAGCAGACAGUACUCAUUUUCAUGGUGACCCAGAACAGUUAUUGUUACAAGAACACCUUUUAAUCUUCAGUUUCUGCUUUUGAAUUGAAUUCAAGUGGGGAGAGAUGAAAGAAAGCAUCUCAGAAAUCUGUUACUACAGCUGGUACUUCUUAGUUUAUCAUAUGCUAGCUUUAAUUCUCUUUGAUUCUUCCUAGAAUUAUUGCUUCUAUUUCUUAAUUUGACAACCCGGCAUUUGUUGCUAUUUUUUGACUGUGAAAAAUCCCUCCCCUCCUACUUCUGUAUAGCAUCUACCGCAGGGAAAAAAUAAAGUUAACUUCUCUCUUGGUAAGGUUUCUUAUAGUGCAAAAGCAAGCAGAUAAAUAACAUUCAUUGCUUACACUUAAGGAAAAGACUUACAAAAUAAACUGAAGAGUGAAAGAAGGAUAAGAGUCAUGCUGAUAUGAAGGGCAUCACUUGCACUGCAGUCCAUUCUGGAUUUCUUGCAGGAACACACUUGUAAUUUCAGUUCUGUGUUGUUAGUCAGAGGUGGUUUUCCAGAAUCUGUCACUGAGAUUGGGAUGUUGUAAUUGGCCUUUUUCAGGUUUUGAAGCAGGACAACCUGGGCAUGAGUAUCUGCAAAGGAUAAGGAGGUGAGGAACAGCCAAACAGUGGUCAUUUAGAUAGGAAGAAACAGUUGUAAACAAUACCAGACAUGCCACAGUUACUCAUGGAGAUGAAGAGGAAAAUGAGUGUACUCUAAGGAAAGAUUAGGGAAUUGAAUUGCAUGGGAAGUAAGAACAGGCAGCUACAGAAAUUCUUUCAGGGGUUUAGAACUCACUGCAAAUAUAUUCCAAGCCCCAUCAAAAGAAGGACUUUCAAGAGUCCCUUUUGUUUAAAUACAUUAUUUAGUCUGCAGAUUAUUGGCAGAAAUUACUGUGGAAACAAAUAUACUAAUGAAAUGCUAAGGCAUGUCAUGCCCAAAGCAACAUGAGAGGGAAGAAUUUAUCUAUUUGCCAAAGGAAAAAUCCCUUCUUGGAAGGAAGCACAGGGGAAGCUGUUUAAUUGCUUCCCCAGUUUGACUGAAAAGGUAGUGAAGGUAAGUAAUACACCUCCAGAUCCACAGAUCUGCUGCCCAGGUGAGCAUGCUCUUUUAGGAGGUUUAAAAGAGUAUUGGCUGGAUAAUUGCAGAACAGGAAAAUAGCAAAGGAAAUGACUCCACACUGUCCACGAUAUCCUUGAGGCAGGUACAGAUGUCACAUCCAUCUUUACUUCCUUCUAAGCAGAAUAUGAAAUGAAAUGCUAAAAGAUUAGGGAGCAGCCUCACUGAAAGGAACCUGGGGGUCCUGGUGGACAAGAAGCUCAACGUAAGUAGUGUGCUAUUGCAACAGUGGAAGCAAAGUGCAUCCUCAGCUGCAUCUGUAGCAUCUGUGCAUUCCUGCUAUUGAAUUCUGCUGUAACAGACAACCCCAGUGUGAGUACAGUGGGAUGCAGAGGCAGGAGGAAUAAACGCAUGAAAAAUAGAAGUACUUACUGUUAAGCUUGUUGAUUCUCCAUAACUUUUCUGGACCAGAUUGCUUACUCAGUUCAAAUUUAAAUGGAUCUGUGUUGGGAUGGAGGUCUUUGUCUGAUGCUCCUAGUACCACUACUCUGAGAUCUUUAGCAUCAUCACAGACUUUUGCCAGUGUUGGGUAAAGGGAGGGGACAUUGUCAUUGACGUCCUCCAAGGUGAUGUGUAAAGUUCCUGUACCUGUAGCAGGAGGGUUACCUAUAUGAAGAACAAACAAGAGUUUAUUAAAUCAUCCUUCCAUAAACAUUUAUCGUAUCUGUACCUGCAUGGAUGCCGAGGAAGACAAUUUUUAUACAUCUUUCUUCUGUUACAUGAGAAUUAUUGCUUUUAAAAGAGCUUUUAAAAGAGUUACUGUUGUAAAAUGUUGCUAUAUUUUCAAAAUGCAGUCUGUCUGUUUCUCCACAGUAUGGACAAUUAUUCUAAGAAGAGUAUUUUGAAGUCAGAAUGAGAUUAGGAUAUGAAUAGAUAUCUGGAACAAUCUGUUCAUAAAUGCAUACUGAGAGAAUCAUAGUGGGAAAUAUCCCCUGCAUAGACAGUGUGGUAUUAAAAGAACUAAAGAUGAGACAAACAGGUGGAAAAAUGACAGCAGAGCAGAGUCAAUUUGUAUAGUGGAACUCAUAAGUAGAACAGGAGCAGAUUGUUCCUCAGUAACCCUUACCUAGGCCCCCAUUUAAUUACAUUAGCAGAAGUAAAACCUAUCAGCAUGCAACUCUAGAAAAGGUGAUAUUUUAUUUACCCUGAGCCACCCAGCUGUGUUAGUGGGGGAGUUUCAAGCUUUCUCAAAUCAUCUGCCAGUCUGUCUCAGCCAUGACCUGUAGGAACCAGCUUCAGAGGUGAGGCUGCUCUUUACUCACCAUGAUACACUACAGGAAUGCAUGCUGAGGCCAUGACUGGCAAACCAGCUGUGGCACUGGCAGCAUUUGCAAAGAGGACAGCUGCCCACUGGGAGCCAGACUGAUGCUAGCACCUCAUUUCAGGGAGGUCAGAGAGGAUCUGACAAGUAGUAAUAGCUUUCAGCCACUACAGGUGUGUGCCAUGGCUGAGCCAGUAACUACUGCUUUCACUCUAAAGCUCAGUAUCAUAUUACAGAUCAUUUUGUCAGAUCUCAAUUUUUUCUAAAUGCACAUUUCUUCCUGCAUUGCUUACCAUAUCUAAUAAUUUCCUAUUUGAAAUGCUGCUCUUACUGAAGGGUCAUUUUAGGAUGCUCAUUUUACUAGCUUAGAACACACCAUCUAUGAUCUCUGCACUUCCCACAGCUGUAAACCCUCAGCAGGUAGAAAGAAUUGAAGAGGUUGUACUUAACCUGUAAAGCACCAGUGCAGUGUGUCAUGGUAGUCUGACGUUUAGCACUUCUGCGUGCAACCCAAUGAACUACAGAAUUACUCUUGCACUGAGAGUGCAUCCUAAGGGAGAAGUAAAUACCUCGUGGUCUGGAUCUGAUAAACGACUAACUGUAACAGAAUGCAAUUAGUCCUUUCAAUAACAAAUUAUACUAAUGGUGACACUUCAUCUGUUUCAUGCACACAUAAAUGCAUAACAAAGGCAGAAUUUUCAUAGUUCUUCAGCUUUCCCUCUCACUCAUCUCUCACUUUGUCAUCAGAAGGGUUAGGGUUGAGUUCUUUUUAAUGAAAAAGAAAUUAUUUUUCACUUUUUAUUGGACUAAUUGAAUUUGCAGAAAGGCUCCAAUACAUUUUUUGUUCUUGAUAUAUUAUUAAGUAAAGUCAUACAGCAGAAUGGAUGAAAAGACAUUCGAGUAUUUGAAAUAUGAUCAUAAAAGCCAGCCUUUCAUGCACUUAAUUAAACUGCUGUCUUUAAUUUUGAAUGCAUUAUUUCCACACUGGACUGAUAAUGUCGUAUGCACUGCCCUUCUUAUCUUCCUCUGAAGUCAGUAAUAUUAAAAUCUGCCUUUUGAAAUUAAGAAGCCAACAGCAUUAUGAAUGUACUGUUAUUUUGUCAAAUGCAGAUAUGACUGCAUUUUCUCUGCCACAUUAAUGUUUCCCUAUCUUCAUAUGGCUCAUGGGCCAGUCAACUAUUCCGCACAAAUAGGGAGGAAGGAAAUUGCUUCUGUCCAUUUCAAUGACUUAUUCUCUGGCUGCUUUAUUUCUAAUGAUUUAAACAAAAUCUUUUGGUGAUUUAUGAAGGCUUCCAAAAGAAAAAUAAGCAAAUGUCAAGGUCGUAAGCUGACGCUUGUUAACACACGUCAUAAAAAAUGCAACAAAAAAAAGGAAUCAAGGAAAUAUGGUCACAGUACGUCCACUGGGAAUAUAUGACUUUUACAAAUGUGACAGUAUUACGCUUUUGAAAUAAGAAACACUCCAAAAUCCCAUGAUCUCCAGACAGCUCUAGUUUUGAAAUGAAAGAUUUCUUUACUGUAUUUUAAUCCUGAAAUAGAGCUAAUUCUCAUUGUAAAACUUUGCAGCUGAAAAGAGAAUUAAUGCUUAAACCAAGACAUAAAGGGCUCGGUCCAGUACCCCUUGGGAGUAUCUUUUCAGAAGAGCUUGGUUCCCAUUUUGUCACUGAACUGGUCAUUCCUGAUGAAAAUAAAUACUUGGAACUUUUAGGUCAUAUGGAACAGAAAAUUUCAAACUCCUGCUGUGCAUUCCACAAGUGGAAUAGCUGUGGAUGGACUACAGCAUACAUAUGAGAUGUCAUUGCAUUACUCAUUACUCACAUGUAAAAGCUGCUAAAAUGGACUGAAGGACAACUAAUUUCACACUGAAAGUCAGCACUUGCCAUUGAAUCCUGAUUUUAAUAAUCUAGGUCAAAAAUGAGAUCCCUAAUGAGUAAACUUCAGAUGGUGAUGUAAGAGCUUCCAAGUUUGUUAAGGUCUGUGGGACUGAAAGUUUCAUUGGUAACACUAAAAAUGUACAAAUUCAUCUUAGAUUGUGACACAAGUGGAAAUUUGUGUUACACUUAUCUGAAUUGCAUCAGGGAUGUUAACAUCUUCACCUCCUAGCAUUAGACCACAUAAAAAUCUGAUAGCAGUCUUCGGUUAGGCAGUAGCUGGUGAUGUUGUAAGAUGCAACAAGGAAAAAAUAGACUAACAUAAAAGUAGUUCUAUUUCAAGAGUUAGAGACCAGCAUAGGAUAUGAUAGGAUCUAUUGUCUGUGACCUAGAAUCUGUAAUGCAAAAGACUGUUACCAGAAGAUGUGGAUGUUAAACUGGAUUUCAGUAAUACCAGCAUAAAUCACCAUAUUGCUACCUUUAUUAAAAAAAAAAAAAACUAUCAAAAGAAAUGCUACACUUCUAUAAUUCUGUGUACUUGUAUUAUAACGAAGAGCUGUACAGAAUCAUAUUAUUAGUAAUGUCCUAAAUUAUAAGCACUCUGAAGAACAACCUGGCCAAGAAGUUUGAAAACUGAUCUUCAGUUUUGCUCCAGAAAGUUCCCACAGGAACAACGAUGGCAUUUAGACAUCUAACUACUCAAAUGAGACUGCAAAUCAGGCAGGCAGAUUCCUAAAAGAUACCAAUUAUGGACAAUGAUGACCAUGGAUUAAGAUGACAUUUCUCUUAAGUAUCAAGAUUUGCAUAAAAUGGCAUGUCUAACAAGCAGUUGUGGUUGAAGGGCUGAUGAUGCAUUUAAUCUGAGCAUAACAUUUUUAUGGACAUGCAGAGCCAUUUCAAGUUCCCCUUCUUAGUUUCUAAACAGAAAUGUGAUGCUGAGCAUAGGUUUCUAAUACAGCCAAGCUGUGCUUCAUGAAAUUAAAACGAGUAUUCAUACUGAUUUGAAACUGAAUUAAGAAAUUCUUUAUCAGUGUACCUUUCAAUACCAACUACUUGCAUGUAUUUUAAGCGAGAGCAGAAAUACAGAGUCUGCUAACACCACAAAAAGGUGAGACUUUCUUUACUAUGCUAGAUACACCUGAAACCAAAUACUAUUAAAAGUGAGAGUCAAGGACUUCAUUUUGGGGUUAUCCAAAGGAAAACUCAGGAAAGAGACUGCAGGUUGCCUGCAGAGCAUCCUAUUUUAUGGCCCUGUGUAGACACCUGUGUUUCUACCACAUCUUCCUACAGUUAGUGUCAUAAAAGAUUGCAUACUGCAUUAAUGAAGUCCACAGUCAUGUUUAAAUGUCUCACCACACUUUACGGAGACGUAUCUGUGAGAUCAUUCAAAUGGUUAGUGAAGAUGCUAAGAACUAUGUAGCAUCAAAUAAUUGACUUGAAAGUUGGCUCAAAAUGGUGACUUUCCUUGGACCAUUUUGACGUCAUACAGUUGUUUCACUUGAUGCUAAGGAAGGUUCAGGGAAUAUACCGCUGCCUCAGCACCUGGGCCAUGCCAGACUGCUGCUACUGCUGGACACGCAGUAGAUAAAUGUGGGCAUCCAUCUACACUAAGUUGCCAGUAUGUGCUCCCAGAAACUACUGAUAAAUAUUGCUCUAAAUUGGCUGAUGAUUCUCAAGAUGGAAAGCGCUGUUUACAUGCAUCAGAAAGAAGAAAAAAAAGUCAUGAAGACUUAGUCUUUCUCUUGCACCUUUCCUUUUCCAGUUUUUCUCUUUUGACACCAAACUGGACUUGAUCUAAACGAGAACAAGUUGCACAAGGAAGAAGGAAGUAUUAAAAAAAAAACCACUUUUCCACAUGCACUGUGAAACUUAGCUUUGACUAAAUUAGAUGAAAGUCAAUUUACUUGUAAAUAACAUGAUUUGUUUAGUGGCACAGCGAAGGAACACAGGAUUGGUAAUUAACUAACAAGAAAAGCCCCAGACACAGACCUGAAAACACGAAGAUAUGUGACUGCUGUGUUCACUACAGUUUAGGAAGUUCACCCAAUGGCAUGAAAAGUUAGAGAUGUGAAAUAUUCUGUAUUUAAAACACUAAUGUUUUGUAUCUUGGUCAUUGCCACAAAGGAAUAUUUAAGUGUAAGUGCCUUUGCAGUACAAUUUAUACUUAAAAAUAUUUAGGAAAAGAGAAUUUAAUUUCAAUUAUUAUACUUAAAAAGAUUAAAUUUCCAAAGAAAAUGCAACCAAUUUAAGGAAUCCAUCAGCUACACAGAUUUAAGCCACAGUACUGCUAGAAGCUAGAACAGCUUUUAGAAGGAAUGGAGCAUGAACUGUCACUUUUCAUGUGCUCAUUAUGAAUGGUAAGAAAACUUCUGCACUCAAUUCCUCUUAUUAAAUUAAGCUCCCAGCACCAUCAAAUUAAUACAUGUUAUCUAUGUCCUUCUAUGCCAUGAUGCAAAAAUUACAAGGCCAUUUAAUUCCUCGAGCAAGCAGUUUGUCCUCUGUCAGACACGAAGGGUAUCACUGCCAUAUAGAUUUCUUCUCAGACUGACAGUGGAAAUUCAUUUGCUCUCAAUUUUACUAGAAUAUUUAUGGUCUACCAUUUAGCAGCGGUUUCUACUCCAGUUGUGCUAUCAUUUGUGUAACCCACAAAGCUCCAUUCCAGCUUCUUUAGCCUGCUGAGACUUUUCUCUGGGCUAACAGUUGCACAGAUACAGACUGAGGAGGUGGAAUGAACUGUUUGAUCAAUUACAGUAGGAACAAUUUUUCUUCAUGUUUGAGCCUAAAAACAGCCUUUGAGAAGCCUUUGAGUUCUCUAAUUUCUGGCACAAUUCCAUGCCCCAUCAUGAAUAAAGCCUUUUCACUUUCAACUUUCAUAAACCAUGUCUGAAUCGUGAUCAUAUGAAGGUCAUUGUGAAUAUUUGCAAUGGUAUCUACAGAUUCCCUUCAUUUUACUCCUGUGUAACUAACUGUAAAAUGUCAGACUUCCUAAGAUCUCCACUUGGAUGUAGAUUUAUUUAUUUAUUUUACCAAUUUCUUUACUUUCAGUUUCACAUUUGCCUAAAGGAGAAGCGCCUUUCUUCAAUUUAAUGGAGCAAGAGAGGAGGAGAACAAAGAAUGAAAGGAGUAUUUCAGAAAUUCCCAAAGCCAGGCUGUGCAGGAUGCAGUCAGGCUGUGUUUCAGGCUCUCUCUUUAAGUGAUCACACUACAAAUAUAGGCUGUGGGAAAUAAUGCUUCAUGAUCUCUAAUGAUACUGCCAUGAAAAUCUAAACUGAAAUUUCAGAGUCUCCUCCCUCCUGUUUCUUUUCUACCUUCAUACGCUGCUCUUCUCAUCAGACAAUGUGUGCAUGUGAGGUGAUUUGGCAGCUGGUGCUCUCACUGCAGGCAUAAAUCCCAUUCAGCUCUGUUACAUUCUGUGUUCCAGCUGAACUCCAUUAACAGUUCAAGAAAAGUAAAAGGAACCAAUAGAGUGGGAAAAUAUUGGGAUUUGGGUGUGGUGCUCAGAGUCUGACAUAUUUGAAGUCUGCCCUUAUAAAUACCACAUACUGACAUUUUCUAUGAAGGAGGUCCCAAAUUUCCCAUGAAGUUGAAAUUCCCCGUUUUAAAAACACUCACUGACAUAUCAAUUUUUUUUCCCCAGAAUGUAUAAAAUAGUUUCCAAAAGUUGCAAUGCUUCAUUCAUGCACUCAGAUAAUAUAUGCAGAUCCUAUUUUUGAGUAAUUACAUUUCAAAAGAGCACAGCUCUUUCAGCAUAUCAAACUGCUACUGACAUAUGCCAUCCGUCUUAAAUACUGUUUUCAGCAUUCUGAUUUCUUUUUCUAAUCACGAGGCUGUGAUGACAAAUUAAAACAAUAUUUUGUGUGCAAUUCAUAUUUUGCUGAAAUUUAAAAUGGCAAGAAAAGGAUAAGUAUUCCAUUUAUUUUUCUCUUCUCAAUUAAUACAGCAAUUAAGAUAAGGGGUAUAAAACUGGCUUAAUUAGGUUGCUAUGGCAACUAAUUGCCUGAUUUCUUCAAAAAUAGCAUGUUUUAGGUGGAAUCAAUCUGUGGUAAUUUAAUUAUGUACAUCAUGAAGCAAGACGACAGGUUAGGUACAUGUAAGGAAGAAUUCUAUUUGCAAAUGGUGACACAUCUCUUUGUCACUCAGUUAUUUCCUAGCUGUUGUCUGUUUCUGUUCAUUACACAUGGUACAGAAUGACAGUUUUUCCUGCUAAUGAUUAGGAGUAUCAAGAACUGCACAAUGAAUGUUGGAGAGUAUUUCAGCUGGUCCUUGGAAACAAGGAAAAAAGUGAAAAGUAGAUCCUGACUGACCUCCUUCUCAUUUUCCCUUCAACGUGCAAUAGGGAAAUUGAAGCAAUACGACUCAGCCACCUCAUUUAUACACACACAACUGGCUACAGCAUGAAGCAAAAUCCUUGCACUGGCCAGAGCAAUUUGGGGAUGGUGAUGACAACAAGGAGAGCAAAACACUUUCGGAUAAAGGCAGUUUUCACUCAUGGACUAUGGCUGUAAGAAAUGGUGCUUACUGUGAUUCAAGUUGUAUCAGUUGUGAGCCCUUAACUGAGUAUCUUUAAUGUACAGAACAGAUAACAUGUUUUUAAUGACAUGUACCCUCUUCUACGUUUAACGUAGCAUAAGUACUUCGAUUCCCAAUUUUUAUCCCUGGUGAUGAGGAUAGCAGGGGAGAAGCUGACUCACUGGCAGUGCACCAGAGUUUGUGUCUCAGUGGGAGAGCACUGCUGCCUGGCUUUGUGCAGGCUGUAUCCUGCCACGAUGUCACGGGAACACUGGAGUUGUUAUCAGUAUUUAAAUGAGUCAGUAAGACUGCAAAUUGGCAUUCCCACAUUUCUCACCAGCAGUACCUGACCUGCACAGGUGGUUUUCAUGUAUCAAGCAAACAAAAGUAACCAAAAAGUUUUUCUUCUAAAGACCUGGAAAAUUUAUAUAAUUGGAACAGCAAAGGGGGCAUUGUGCUCCUCUGCAGUAAUACUGUUCAUGAACUUCAGAGAAAACUGUUUGGAUCUAUAUUACUAUUCCUUCUUCUCUCUUAAAGAAAAGGGAGAAAUAGAAGUUUGCCAUAUUUUCCAGAUAUUUUUAAGUUUUAAACAUUUUCUCUUCCUUUUUUUUUUUUUUCCUCUCUAAAUUGUGACUCAUACUCUCAGAAUACAGGUGAAAAAGGACAAUUCCAAGAGUCUUUCUAAUAAAGGCUGUCAUGCUAAAAACAUACGGGCAUUAAGCUUUAUGAGUCAUCUCAAAUGUUCCAGAACAUAAUAGGAUUUGCACAACACAGUUACACAACAGAUCACCUGUCUGAUUUGCUGUGUGUGAUGCAAGCAGGUAUCUCAAACUCAAGUGAUCUAUUGCCUAUGUGUGGUUUAUACAGAUACUCUCAAUAAUUGUACUUUAUACUUCUGAUAUUGUUUUUAGUGAUUAGAAUGAUGAAUAAAGGAAAUAAAAAUUCCAUUUUUGAAAAUAAAAUAAAUAUAAAGGAAAUAAGAUGUCAAUUGUUGGCACUUUUCUUAAUCCUGAGAACCCCUGAUUGGGUUGAAUGAAACCAAGUUUGCAUAAACCUGACUUCGUCCCGUUAUGAGCUCAUUCUCAGAUUAAACGCAGUUCAUGACACUUCAAUGCGUUAACUCUGCUUCAUGAUAUUUCCUACCAUUAUUUAAUUUCUUCUUUAAUAGACCAGAGGCUCUGUGUCCACACAAGUCUUUAAUAAAGAGUUUUCAAAUUCUAAAGACACUACCUUGACCUUUACUGAAAUCAAAAAUACAGAGCAAAUUAGGAUAUUCAAUCCAAAAAGUUCUUUUUACCAUGAAAUUUCCCCUCAAUAAAAGGUCAAACUUUAUUAUCUAUAAAAUUAAUACUGUGUCCAUCAAGUGUGCUCUCUUGUUUAAAGUAUUUUGGGAAUGUAUAGGGACUGUUUAGAGCAGAUGUAACAUAGUUCAUACUUAGCUACAUUUCUCUUCAGUUAAUUGGGUAACAGUAUCAAGUUCAAAAAGAAUAUAAUAAAUGACUGCAUUAUUUUCUGCA